rnacentral:rRNA from 3 species
UCCGUAGGUGAACCUGCGGAGGGAUCAUUACCGAGUUUACAACUCCCAAACCCCUGUGAACAUACCUUAUGUUGCCUCGGCGGAUCAGCCCGCGCCCCGUAAAAAGGGACGGCCCGCCGCAGGAACCCUAAACUCUGUUUUUAGUGGAACUUCUGAGUAUAAAAAACAAAUAAAUCAAAACUUUCAACAACGGAUCUCUUGGUUCUGGCAUCGAUGAAGAACGCAGCAAAAUGCGAUAAGUAAUGUGAAUUGCAGAAUUCAGUGAAUCAUCGAAUCUUUGAACGCACAUUGCGCCCGCCAGUAUUCUGGCGGGCAUGCCUGUUCGAGCGUCAUUUCAACCCUCAAGCCCAGCUUGGUGUUGGGAGCUGCAGUCCUGCUGCACUCCCCAAAUACAUUGGCGGUCACGUCGAGCUUCCAUAGCGUAGUAAUUUACACAUCGUUACUGGUAAUCGUCGCGGCCACGCCGUUAAACCCCAACUUCUGAAUGUUGACCUCGGAUCAGGUAGGAAUACCCGCUGAACUUAAGCAUAUCAAUAAGCGGAGGA